GGAAUCUGGGAGGACCAUCUCCUAAGGCUAAAUACUCUCUAGUGACCGAUAGUGAACCAGUACCGUGAGGGAAAGGUGAAAAGCACCCCGGAAGGGGAGUGAAAUAGAACCUGAAACCGUGUGCUUACAAGUAGUCAGAGCCCGUUAAUGGGUGAUGGCGUGCCUUUUGUAGAAUGAACCGGCGAGUUACGAUUUGAUGCAAGGUUAAGCAGUAAAUGUGGAGCCGUAGCGAAAGCGAGUCUGAAUAGGGCGUUUAGUAUUUGGUCGUAGACCCGAAACCAGGUGAUCUACCCUUGGUCAGGUUGAAGUUCAGGUAACACUGAAUGGAGGACCGAACCGACUUACGUUGAAAAGUGAGCGGAUGAACUGAGGGUAGCGGAGAAAUUCCAAUCGAACCUGGAGAUAGCUGGUUCUCUCCGAAAUAGCUUUAGGGCUAGCCUCAAGUGAUGAUUAUUGGAGGUAGAGCACUGUUUGGACGAGGGGCCCCUCUCGGGUUACCGAAUUCAGACAAACUCCGAAUGCCAAUUAAUUUAACUUGGGAGUCAGAACAUGGGUGAUAAGGUCCGUGUUCGAAAGGGAAACAGCCCAGACCACCAGCUAAGGUCCCAAAAUAUAUGUUAAGUGGAAAAGGAUGUGGCGUUGCCCAGACAACUAGGAUGUUGGCUUAGAAGCAGCCAUCAUUUAAAGAGUGCGUAAUAGCUCACUAGUCGAGUGACACUGCGCCGAAAAUGUACCGGGGCUAAACAUAUUACCGAAGCUGUGGAUUGUCCUUUGGACAAUGGUAGGAGAGCGUUCUAAGGGCGUUGAAGCAUGAUCGUAAGGACAUGUGGAGCGCUUAGAAGUGAGAAUGCCGGUGUGAGUAGCGAAAGACGGGUGAGAAUCCCGUCCACCGAUUGACUAAGGUUUCCAGAGGAAGGCUCGUCCGCUCUGGGUUAGUCGGGUCCUAAGCUGAGGCCGACAGGCGUAGGCGAUGGAUAACAGGUUGAUAUUCCUGUACCACCUAUAAUCGUUUUAAUCGAUGGGGGGACGCAGUAGGAUAGGCGAAGCGUGCGAUUGGAUUGCACGUCUAAGCAGUAAGGCUGAGUAUUAGGCAAAUCCGGUACUCGUUAAGGCUGAGCUGUGAUGGGGAGAAGACAUUGAGUCUUCGAGUCGUUGAUUUCACACUGCCGAGAAAAGCCUCUAGAUAGAAAAUAGGUGCCCGUACCGCAAACCGACACAGGUAGUCAAGAUGAGAAUUCUAAGGUGAGCGAGCGAACUCUCGUUAAGGAACUCGGCAAAAUGACCCCGUAACUUCGGGAGAAGGGGUGCUCUUUAGGGUUAACGCCCAGAAGAGCCGCAGUGAAUAGGCCCAAGCGACUGUUUAUCAAAAACACAGGUCUCUGCUAAACCGUAAGGUGAUGUAUAGGGGCUGACGCCUGCCCGGUGCUGGAAGGUUAAGAGGAGUGGUUAGCUUCUGCGAAGCUACGAAUCGAAGCCCCAGUAAACGGCGGCCGUAACUAUAACGGUCCUAAGGUAGCGAAAUUCCUUGUCGGGUAAGUUCCGACCCGCACGAAAGGCGUAACGAUUUGGGCACUGUCUCAACGAGAGACUCGGUGAAAUCAUAGUACCUGUGAAGAUGCAGGUUACCCGCGACAGGACGGAAAGACCCCGUGGAGCUUUACUGUAGCCUGAUAUUGAAAUUCGGCACAGCUUGUACAGGAUAGGUAGGAGCCUUUGAAACGUGAGCGCUAGCUUACGUGGAGGCGCUGGUGGGAUACUACCCUAGCUGUGUUGGCUUUCUAACCCGCACCACUUAUCGUGGUGGGAGACAGUGUCAGGCGGGCAGUUUGACUGGGGCGGUCGCCUCCUAAAAGGUAACGGAGGCGCUCAAAGGUUCCCUCAGAAUGGUUGGAAAUCAUUCAUAGAGUGUAAAGGCAUAAGGGAGCUUGACUGCGAGACCUACAAGUCGAGCAGGGUCGAAAGACGGACUUAGUGAUCCGGUGGUUCCGCAUGGAAGGGCCAUCGCUCAACGGAUAAAAGCUACCCCGGGGAUAACAGGCUUAUCUCCCCCAAGAGUUCACAUCGACGGGGAGGUUUGGCACCUCGAUGUCGGCUCAUCGCAUCCUGGGGCUGUAGUCGGUCCCAAGGGUUGGGCUGUUCGCCCAUUAAAGCGGUACGCGAGCUGGGUUCAGAACGUCGUGAGACAGUUCGGUCCCUAUCCGUCGUGGGCGUAGGAAAUUUGAGAGGAGCUGUCCUUAGUACGAGAGGACCGGGAUGGACAUACCUCUGGUGUACCAGUUGUCGUGCCAACGGCAUAGCUGGGUAGCUAUGUGUGGACGGGAUAAGUGCUGAAAGCAUCUAAGCAUGAAGCCCCCCUCAAGAUGAGAUUUCCCAACUUCGGUUAUAAGAUCCCUCAAAGAUGAUGAGGUUAAUAGGUUCGAGGUGGAAGCAUGGUGACAUGUGGAGCUGACGAAUACUAAUCGAUCGAAGACUUAAUCAA
rnacentral:rRNA from 265 species